rnacentral:rRNA from 1 species
UACGGAGGGUGCGAGCGUUGUCCGGAAUCACUGGGCGUAAAGGGCGCGUAGGCGGCCUGAUAAGUCGGGGGUGAAAUCCUGCGGCUUAACCGCAGGGCUGCCUUCUAAACUGUCAGGCUAGAGCACAGUAGAGGCAGGUGGAAUUCCCGGUGUAGCGGUGGAAUGCGUAGAGAUCGGGAAGAACAUCAGUGGCGAAGGCGGCCUGCUGGGCUGUUGCUGACGCUGAGGCGCGACAGCGUGGGGAGCAAACAGG